rnacentral:tRNA from 1 species
UGCCAAAUUUCUUACGCACAUAUUGCCCGUCAUCCUCAUAUGAGGCAAGUCGUAACAAAGUAGAUCUUCUGGAAGGAGGACCUAAAAUGCAGGGCAUAGUAUAUAAGUACAUCUUAAUUACAAUAAGAAGGUUUAAGCUCUAA